CCGGUACAAACUUUUAAAUGGGAAAUAGAAUCUAAAUUCUGGACUUCAGAAUUCAACGUACAUUGCUAUGGCAACGUGGCUUAAAGAUAAAAAGAGAUGCGGAAGCAGGAGUUUUAGACAGUCUUAGAGAUGGCAUGAAAUUCUACUUGAGAUAUGUUGAUGACAUAUUGACUGUAUGGAGGCAUGAAUAUGACCUGAAAAUGCUAGCAGAGAACAUGACUAUAGAAGCUUACGGCCCGGUCUUAAACCAACAACAUGUGAGUAUUACAAAGUCACAUUUUUUGGACAUAGGCUUGGACCUGCACAACAAAGAACUUUGCACUUUGGUCUAUCAAAAACCAAUGCAUGAACUGGUCAUUAUUCCAAAAUGAUCCUAUGACCUAACCUCCUAUAAGUUAUCUGCAUUUAGGUUCUACUUUAAAAGAGUGGAAAUUUAUAACAACAACCAGGAAGAAAAAGAGAAAGAAUUGCAGUUUAUAUAUAGUACCAGAUAUU
rnacentral:lncRNA from 1 species